AUUGAACGCUGGCGGCAUGCUUUACACAUGCAAGUCGAACGGUAACAGGCCGCAAGGUGCUGACGAGUGGCGAACGGGUGAGUAAUGCAUCGGAACGUGCCCAGUCGUGGGGGAUAACGCAGCGAAAGCUGCGCUAAUACCGCAUACGAUCUGUGGAUGAAAGCGGGGGACCGAAAGGCCUCGCGCGAUUGGAGCGGCCGAUGUCAGAUUAGGUAGUUGGGGGGGUAAAGGCCCACCAAGCCAACGAUCUGUAGCUGGUCUGAGAGGACGACCAGCCAAACUGGGACUGAGACACGGCCCAGACUCCUACGGGGGGCAGCAGUGGGGAAUUUUGGACAAUGGGCGCAAGCCUGAUCCAGCAAUGCCGCGUGCAGGAAGAAGGCCUUCGGGUUGUAAACUGCUUUUGUACGGAACGAAACGGCUCUGGUUAAUACCUGGGGCUAAUGACGGUACCGUAAGAAUAAGCACCGGCUAACUACGUGCCAGCCGCCGCAGUAAAAC
rnacentral:rRNA from 1 species